AACGAACGCUGGCGGCGUGGUUAAGACAUGCAAGUCGAACGGACUAUUCAAUUGAGUAAUCGAGAGAAUAGUUAGUGGCGUAAGGGUGAGUAAUGGAUAGGUAACGUACCCUGUGCUCCGGAAUAGCGUCAGUUCACCUUCGGGUGGACAUCCGAAAGGGGCGGUAAUACCGGAUAAUAUCAUCUGUCGAUAGGCUGAUGAUCAAAGAUUUAUCGGCAUAGGAGCGGCCUUUCUCUUAUCAGCUUGUUGGUGAGGUAAUGGCUCACCAAGGCUAUGACGGGUAGCGGGACUGAGAGGUUGGCCCGCCACAUCGGGACUGAGACACUGCCCGGACCUCCACGGAGGGCUGCAGUAACGAAUCUUGCGCAAUGGGCGAAAGCCUGACGCAGCGACGCCGCGUGUGGGAGGAAGUCUUUCGGGAUGUAAACCACUGUCAGGGGGAAGAAAGUUCACUCCGGUGGAUUGAUCUAACC
rnacentral:rRNA from 1 species